rnacentral:rRNA from 1 species
UACGGAGGAUGCAAGCGUUAUCCGGAAUGAUUGGGCGUAAAGCGUCCGCAGGUGGCAAUGUAAGUCUGCUGUUAAAGAGUCUAGCUCAACUAGAUACAAGCAGUGGAAACUACAUAGCUAGAGUACGUUCGGGGCAGAGGGAAUUCCUGGUGUAGCGGUGAAAUGCGUAGAGAUCAGGAAGAACACCGGUGGCGAAGGCGCUCUGCUAGGCCGUAACUGACACUGAGGGACGAAAGCUAGGGGAGCGAACAGG